UUACUACUUCCUUCGUCUCAAAAUUCUUGUCUUACAUUUGUCUAGAUAUGGAUGUAUCUAAUACUAAAACGUGACUUGAUACAUCCGUAUUUAGACAAAUCUAAGACAAGAAUUUUAGGACGGAGGGAGUAUUUA
rnacentral:pre_miRNA from 1 species